AUUGAACGCUGGCGGCAGGCCUAACACAUGCAAGUCGAGCGGAGCGGCGGACGCGUGCGUAAUGCCUAGGAAUCUGCCUGGGCCUGGGGGAGAACGUUCGGAAACGGGCGCUAUUACUGAUUACUCUCAGCUGAGCCUAGGUCGGAUUAGGUAGUUGGUGGGGUAAAGGCCUACCAAGUCGACGACCCGUAGCUGGUCUGAGAGGAUGAUCAGUCACACUGGAACUGAGAAACGGUCCAGACUCCUACGGGAGGCAGCAGUGGGGAAUAUUGGACAAUGGGCGAAAGCCUGAUGCAGCCAUGCCGCGUGUGUGAAGAAGGUCUGCGGAUUGUAAAGCACUUUAAGUUGGGAGGCGUUACCAACAGAAGAAGCACCGGCUAACUUCGUGCCAGCAGCCGCGGUAAUUC
rnacentral:rRNA from 1 species